rnacentral:tmRNA from 1 species
CGCUGGCCUGUCCGUGGGCAGGCGGCAUGGCGAAACUUAAUUGCGGAAUACGCUCGUAGACGUCCAUGCGACGCUUGUGCGGACGCGGGUUCGACUCCCGCCGCCUCCACCA